GUGGUGCACAGCUGUGUCAUGAGGGACCUUCAGAGGUCUCUCCUAGCUGCAAUGCUGUUUGGUACUUUUAUUAAAGGGCUGAAUGAUGGUAUGGAAAUGAUGCUUGCUCACUUUGCAGAUUCUCUGGAUGAAUGGGUGAGUAUUUAAGCUGAUCUUGAUGUAUGAAGGAACAGGAUGCAAUCUGAUGAGGAUGAAGCCCUGCACUCAUUCAGGAACAGUCAUUUUCACCAUCCAUGGAGGUAUUUAAAAGAGAAAAAUACCGAGAAAACCAGAUGCAGCUAGACUGGUCAAUGUUCUGUGUUAUUCAGGUUUCAGCUGCAUCAGGAAAUGUUUCAGCAAGUUUUGUGUGGGAUCAUAUUUGCUUUGAGAGGCUGUUGGACUGAUUUCUUCUGUGAGCCUGUACAUGUAGAGAAACACUGUAGGUGAUAGAGAGACAUCAUAUCGGACAAGCAGCUGCAAGAAAAGAUUUUCUAGUCCAAAUGAAUACAGUUCACAUUGAUUGAGAAUAAAAUUCUUGCUUCUCAAUGCAUCUCCAGACUGCACACCCUCACCAAGCAGGACUUGUGGAAACAGGGACUGCUCUGUACAAGCAGGAACCUUUGUCCUUCUGGAACCCUUCUCUGAAAAUGUAUCUAUUCCUGUCUUCUUUAAUUUGACGAGAUUGAGUCAGAACACUCCUUCAGAUUAAUUCUAGUAUAGGAACCCAAGGUAGAGAAGGAUUUUGA